rnacentral:rRNA from 1 species
UAUGUGAUCGUCUCUCGCAUAUCAAUAAGCGGAGGAAAAGAAACUAACAAGGAUUCCCCUAGUAACGGCGAGUGAAGCGGGAAGAGCUCAAAUUUGAAAUCUUAAAGGGUUUCCCUUUACGAAUUGUAGUUUAAAGAAGUGUUUUCUGUUGAGGUUUUGGUAAAAGUUCUUUGGAAUAGGACAUCAUAGAGGGUGAGAAUCCCGUAUUUGACCUUUACUUUCAACUUUGUGAUACACUUUCAAAGAGUCGGAUUGUUUGGGAAUGCAGUCCAAAAUGGGUGGUAAAUUUCAUCUAAAGCUAAAUAUUGGCGAGAGACCGAUAGCGAACAAGUACCGUGAGGGAAAGAUGAAAAGAACUUUGAAAAGAGAGUUAAACAGUACGUGAGAUUGUCAAAAGGGAAGCGUUUGACACCAGUGUUGUUUUUCUGAAAAUCAAUUAAAGAACUGUUUAUGCUAAGCUGUUUAGACUUUAUCAGCUAACUGUUUAGUUUUGAGCUUUUCUUUAAUGCACUUUUCAGUUAACAAGUCAACAUCAAUUUCUUUUGCUGUAAAAAAGCUUGAGGAAGGUGGCUUGAGAUUCGUCUUAAGUGUUUAUAGCCCCUUGCCUAUGCAGUCGGAGAGAUUGAGGUCUGCAGCGUAGAUCCUUCGGGGCUAAAUGCAUUUGUGCUAAGUUAUAGCAUUUUAUAGACAACUUGUUGACUAUGAUUUGUCUUGUAGCUUACUCGCUUAUGUUAUUUUACCUACGCUUAGGAUGUUGAGUAGCGACAUACGCAC